rnacentral:rRNA from 1 species
AACGAACGCUGGCGGCAGGCUUAACACAUGCAAGUCGAGCGCCCCGCAAGGGGAGCGGCAGACGGGUGAGUAACGCGUGGGAAUCUACCCAUCUCUACGGAAUAACGCAUGGAAACGUGUGCUAAUACCGUAUACGUCCUUCGGGAGAAAGAUUUAUCGGAGAUGGAUGAGCCCGCGUUGGAUUAGCUAGUUGGUGGGGUAAAGGCCUACCAAGGCGACGAGCCAUAGCUGGUCUGAGAGGCUGAUCAGCCACACUGGGCAUGAGACACGGCCCAGACUCCUACGGGAGGCAGCAGUGGUGAAUAUUGGACAAUGGGCGCAAGCCUUAUCCAGCCGUGCCGCGUGAGUGAUGAAGGCCCUAGGGGUGUAAAGCUCUUUCACCGGUGAAGAUAAUGACGGUAACCGGAGAAGAAGCCCCGGCUAACUUCGUGCCAGCCGCCGCGGUAAAAC